ACGGCUCAGUAACACGUGGACAACCUAACCUAUGGAGGGGGAUAACCCCGGGAAACUGGGGAUAAUACCCCAUAGACUAUGGAAGCUGGAAUGCUCUGUAGUUGAAAGGUCCGCCGCCAUAGGAUGGGUCUGCGGCCGAUUAGGUUGUUGUUGGGGUAACGGCCCAACAAGCCUGUAAUCGGUACGGGUUGUGGGAGCAAGAGCCCGGAGAUGGAUUCUGAGACACGAAUCCAGGCCCUACGGGGCGCAGCAGGCGCGAAAACUUUACAAUGCGGGAAACCGUGAUAAGGGAACUCCGAGUGCCCGUAAAAUCGGGCUGUCCAUCUGUUUAAAUAACAGGUGAAGAAAGGGCCGGGCAAGACCGGUGCCAGCCGCCGCGGUAAUACCGGCGGCUCGAGUGGUGGCCACUAUUACUGGGCUUAAAGCGUUCGUAGCUGGUCUGUUAAGUCUCUGGGGAAAUCUACUGGCUUAACCAAUAGGCGUUUCAGGGAUACUGGCAGACUAGGGACCGGGAGAGGUGAGGGGUACUCCAGGGGUAGGAGUGAAAUCCUGUAAUCCUUGGGGGACCACCUGUGGCGAAGGCGCCUCACCAGAACGGCUCCGACAGUGAGGGACGAAAGCUGGGGGAGCAAACCGGAUUAGAUACCCGGGUAGUCCCAGCCGUAAACGAUGCGCGUUAGGUGUAUCGGUGACCACGAGUCACCGAGGUGCCGAAGAGAAAUCGUGAAACGUGCCGCCUGGGAAGUACGGUCGCAAGGCUGAAACUUAAAGGAAUUGGCGGGGGAGCAC
rnacentral:rRNA from 1 species